rnacentral:rRNA from 1 species
UACGGAGGAUGCGAGCGUUAUCCGGAUUUAUUGGGUUUAAGGGGUGCGCAGGCGGCACGGCAAGCCGGCGGUCAAAUCGCGGGGCUCAACCCCGCCCAGCCGUCGGAACUGCCGGGCUAGAGUGGGCGAGAAGUGCGCGGAAUGCGUGGUGUAGCGGUGAAAUGCAUAGAUAUCACGCAGAACUCCGAUUGCGAAGGCAGCGCACCGGCGCCCUACUGACGCUCAGGCACGAAAGCGUGGGUAGCAAACAGG